rnacentral:rRNA from 1 species
UACGGGGGGGGCAAGCGUUGUUCGGAAUUACUGGGCGUAAAGGGCUCGUAGGUGGCCAACUAAGUCAGACGUGAAAUCCCUCGGCUUAACCGGGGAACUGCGUCUGAUACUGGAUGGCUUGAGUUUGGGAGAGGGACGCGGAAUUCCAGGUGUAGCGGUGAAAUGCGUAGAUAUCAGGAGGAACACCGGUGGCGAAGGCGGUGAUCUGGGCCGGCACUGACGCUGAGGAGCGAAAGCGUGGGGAGCGAACAGG